ACCAUCUAAUGUGAUGUAUAAUCUAAAUAUUUUCUUGAUAGCAAACUUAAACUGAAAGCAUCCAUCACAUCCCUACAACUUAUCUAAAACUUAACCGAGGAACAUCAUCCAACAUGAACAUCAUCCCUACAACUUAAUUAAAACUGAAAGCAUCCACCGUCAUCAUCAUCAUCAUGAAUAGGAACAUCAUUAUCAUCAUUGCAGUAUACUUGCCACACACCCAUAUAAUCCUCCAUUUAUCUUUUGCAUCUAUAAACAAAAAAAACUGUUAACACACAAUGCAUUGACAUGAUGCAAAUAGUGAUAGAGGCAGGAUAUUGGUCAUUGUAUCGGCUAGUAUAUCCCUAUAUGCAAACUCCAGAAAUUUAUCUACACCAGCUGAGUACUGUCUACUUUCUCUAGUAAAUCACUAUGAAGAAACUGACCUUGUCAGAUAAAAAAUGAAGUAGUAUUGGUAAUUGUCAAGUCCAUCCUCUCAUCUGCUUGCAUGCCACAUACCUACACUGGUACACAUGAUAAUUAGCUAAAUAUUUUUUUCUUUGAUAUUGAAAACAAACCGUGAUAAUUUGUGUGCUACAAAUACAAUAGAACACCGUAUUUUGCGGGCGACGAACAACUCUGGACCCAGAAAAGGAUGGUUGCAAAUCAAUAGUGUGUAUACUGUUCUAGGAAAAUCUUAUUGGGCAAACCAAACUAAUUUAUAUUGAGAUUGCUAAAAGAGUAACUAAUUUAUAGUGGAAUGGCUAAAACAGUACCUUAAUCUUAUAGGGACAACUU
rnacentral:lncRNA from 1 species